rnacentral:rRNA from 1 species
UACGAAGGGGGCUAGCGUUGCUCGGAAUUACUGGGCGUAAAGGGCGCGUAGGCGGAUGGCACAGUCAGAUGUGAAAUUCCCGGGCUUAACCUGGGGGCUGCAUUUGAUACGUUUUGUCUUGAGUUCGGAAGAGGGUCGUGGAAUUCCCAGUGUAGAGGUGAAAUUCGUAGAUAUUGGGAAGAACACCGGUGGCGAAGGCGGCGACCUGGUCCGACACUGACGCUGAGGCGCGAAAGCGUGGGGAGCAAACAGG